rnacentral:rRNA from 1 species
GACAGAGGAUGCAAGCGUUAUCCGGAAUGAUUGGGCGUAAAGCGUCUGUAGGUGGCUUUUUAAGUCCGCCGUCAAAUCCCAGGGCUCAACCCUGGACAGGCGGUAGAAACUACCAAGCUGGAGUACGGUAGGGGCAGAGGGAAUUUCCGGUGGAGCGGUGAAAGUGCGUAGAGAUCGGAAAGAACACCAACGGCGAAAGCACUCUGGCUGGGCCGACACUGACACUGAGAGACGGAAAGCUAGGGGAGCGAAGUGGG